AGAUGGAGUCUCACUCUCUCGCCAGACUGGAGUGCAACGGCACGAUCUCAGCUCACUGCAACCUCCACCUCCCUGGUUCAAGCAAUUCUCCUGCCUCAGCCUCCCGAGUAGCUGGGAUUACAG
rnacentral:lncRNA from 1 species